GACGAACGCUGGCGGCGCGCCUAACACAUGCAAGUCGAACGGAGCUUAGAGAGCUUGCUUUUUAAGCUUAGUGGCGGACGGGUGAGUAACGCGUGAGUAACCUGCCCUAGAGUGGGGGACAACAGUUGGAAACGACUGCUAAUACCGCAUAAGCCCACGGUACCGCAUGGUACUGAGGGGAAAAGGAUUUAUUCGCUUUAGGAUGGACCCGCGUCCAAUUAGCUAGUUGGUGAGGUAACGGCCCACCAAGGCGACGAUUGGUAGCCGGACUGAGAGGUUGAACGGCCACAUUGGGACUGAGACACGGCCCAGACUCCUACGGGAGGCAGCAGUGGGGGAUAUUGCACAAUGGGGGAAACCCUGAUGCAGCGACGCCGCGUGGAGGAAGAAGGUUUUCGGAUUGUAAACUCCUGUCGUUAGGGACGAUAAUGACGGUACCUAACAAGAAAGCACCGGCUAACUACGUGCCAGCAGCCGCAGUAAAACGUAGGGUGCAAGCGUUGUCCGGAAUUACUGGGUGUAAAGGGAGCGCAGGCGGGAAGACAAGUUGGAAGUGAAAACCAUGGGCUCAACCCAUGAAUUGCUUUCAAAACUGUUUUUCUUGAGUAGUGCAGAGGUAGAUGGAAUUCCCGGUGUAGCGGUGGAAUGCGUAGAUAUCGGGAGGAACACCAGUGGCGAAGGCGGUCUACUGGGCACCAACUGACGCUGAGGCUCGAAAGCAUGGGUAGCAAACAGGAUUAGAUACCCUGGUAGUCCAUGCCGUAAACGAUGAUUACUAGGUGUUGGGGGAUUGACCCCCUCAGUGCCGCAGUUAACACAAUAAGUAAUCCACCUGGGGAGUACGACCGCAAGGUUGAAACUCAAAGGAAUUGACGGGGGCCCGCACAAGCAGUGGAGUAUGUGGUUUAAUUCGACGCAACGCGAAGAACCUUACCAAGUCUUGACAUCCCUCGACGAUGCUGGAAACAGUAUUUCUCUUCGGAGCAAGGAGACAGGUGGUGCAUGGUUGUCGUCAGCUCGUGUCGUGAGAUGUUGGGUUAAGUCCCGCAACGAGCGCAACCCUUAUGGUCAGUUACUACGCAAGAGGACUCUGGCCAGACUGCCGUUGACAAAACGGAGGAAGGUGGGGAUGACGUCAAAUCAUCAUGCCCUUUAUGACUUGGGCUACACACGUACUACAAUGGCGUUAAACAAAGAGAAGCAAGACCGCGAGGUGGAGCAAAACUCAGAAACAACGUCCCAGUUCGGACUGCAGGCUGCAACUCGCCUGCACGAAGUCGGAAUUGCUAGUAAUCGUGGAUCAGCAUGCCACGGUGAAUACGUUCCCGGGCCU
rnacentral:rRNA from 1 species